UUCGCAGAGGGAAAAAAACAACUAAACUUUGGCUUCAGUUUGUGAAGUAUCUCAACUGCAUCCUUCACCGGUUGGACGGAGCCGGCCUGCUCAUUCCACAUCAAGAUGCAUGUGGUUAAAGUUUCAAUGAGGCACUUCUCUUUCUUUCCGAGGAAGCUGUACUGUAUGUGGAACCACAUUCACAUCCAGCUGUUCACCUCCUUGAUCCUGAAAGGAGUCUUCAUCUUCCUUCAAUCGUGCUCGCUGCUAUUUACAAAACGAAGAGCUGUACCACUGUGACUAUAACACGGUAUCAGGAUUUAUUUCUCUGUUCAAAUAUAGACAUAUAACACUGGAGAAUUUACAGUUUGUGAAUAAACAUAUGCAUGAAGAAAAUAUCUAGUGGCCAAUGAGAGGAAUAUGACUUAUGUUGACCCAAAAUGUUUGUGUCGUUUUUUUUCCAAAGCUGUUGGGAAACCAGGAGACACAAGUGGAUUUGGUGGCUGCUUCGAGUGCCAGUUUUGCUCACUAUUAUUGUAAACAAUUUCCUCCUUUUUGAGAUACAGUAUCAGCACGUUAGACGUUGGUCAACCAGAAGUGAGGAAUGUCUUUGUUCCUUUCAGAUGAAUCUCCUCUUCCUCUUGGGCAUUUUGAGGAUCCUGGCGAGCAAACUGAGAAUGUCGGAUGCACAGGAGAAUGAAUUCAGUUACUAUAAGUACAGUGCUGUAAAAAAGUAUUGACCUCCUUCUCGAAUUCUUA